rnacentral:sRNA from 2 species
AACAAGCGCGUCAGGGAUUGCAGGGAAAAUCCUUUUCCGGGGGAAAAGAUUGGACCGUAAAGCCCGGUCCCGG